UGGGGGAUGGUCUAACGGCAAGACAGCGGACUCUGACUCCGCUUAUCGGGGUUCGAAUCCCUGUCCCCCAG
rfam:Desulfocapsa sulfexigens DSM 10523, complete genome.